AUUGAACGCUGGCGGCAGGCCUAACACAUGCAAGUCGAACGAGUGGCGGACGGGUGAGUAAUGUCUGGGAAACUGCCUGAUGGCGGGGGAUAACUACUGGAAACGGUAGCUAAUACCGCAUACCAUCAGAUGUGCCCAGAUGGGAUUAGCCUGUUGGUGGGGUAACGGCUCACCAAGGCGCCGAUCCCUAGCUGGUCUGAGAGGAUGACCGGCCACCGUGGAACUCGGACACGGUCCAGGCGCCUACGGGGGGCAGCAGUGGUGAAUAUUGCACAAUGGGGGAAAGCCUGAUGCAGCCAGGCGGCGUGGAUGAAGAAGGCCGUCGGGUUGUAAAGUACUUGCAGCGGGGAGGCGUUACCCGCAGAAGAGGCGCCGGCUAACUCCGCGCGAGCAGCCGCGGUAAUAC
rnacentral:rRNA from 1 species